rnacentral:misc_RNA from 1 species
AACGCAAAUUGCGCUUGAGGCCUCGGCCAAGAGCAUGUCUGGCUCAGCGUCGGCUUACUACCCUCAACCAAUUCCCUUUUGGGGAAUUGAUUGGAGCUGGCUUUCCGGUUUUCCGAAUAGGUUGCCGGUCAGCUGAAAAAUAUUCGCGCUGUGGAAGCUGCUUUCCCGUCAAAAGGAAAGCCGAGUUCCGAUUUGGUAGGUGACCUUUGCCGGUUGCAUGCCUUCGUUGCUCGCAAUGGCUUUCAUGACUGCGUGUGCAGGACGCCUUUUGGCUUUCGACCUGAGCUCAGGCAAGAACACCCGCUGAACUUAA